rnacentral:rRNA from 1 species
AGCGAACGCUGGCGGCAGGCCUAACACAUGCAAGUCGAACGAACUCUUCGGAGUUAGUGGCGGACGGGUGAGUACCACGUGGGAACGUGCCUUUUGGUUCGGUAUAUCUCAGGGAAGCUUGUGCUAAUACCGAAUGUGCUCUUCGGGGGAAAGAUUUAUCGCCAUUAGAGCGGCCCGCGUCUGAUUAGCUAGUUGGUGAGGUAACGGCUCACCAAGGCGACGAUCAGUAGCUGGUCUGAGAGGAUGACCAGCCACACUGGGACUGAGACACGGCCCAGACUCCUACGGGAGGCAGCAGUGGGGAAUCUUGCGCAAUGGGCGAAAGCCUGACGCAGCCAUGCCGCGUGAAUGAUGAAGGUCUUAGGAUUGUAAAAUUCUUUCACCGGGGACGAUAAUGACGGUACCCGGAGAAGAAGCCCCGGCUAACUUCGUG